AUAGCAAUGGAGACAGCACACCAGUAUGAUAGUUAAGGGUUUCAAGAGGUGGGUGCAGUUGGGGACUCCUGGCAGAAGGGCAAGCACAUGACAUGGUCUCUCUCUCUCUCUCUCUCAUCCCUUGAUUGUGAAGGUGAUCCAGGUAGGCGAGCAGAUCAAGCUCGCAAAUAGAGGAGGUUACAGUUCAGGCCUACCAGUAGAGUGAUUACUUUAGGAAGGUUACUCAGUUGAGGGUAUUUUGGGAAACAGUCGUAUAUGUAUAUUUUGGGAACAUUUUAGCACUUUAGUAUUGUAUAUUUUCUUGAUUGUAUUUAUAUGAAUUCCGCUUCUCGUUGCUUAGGUUGAUGGUUUGGUUUAAUCUAGGAGGUAUCAGAGCAUUAUAAA